GGGCGGUUAGCUCAGCGGAAGAGUACCGGCCUUACAAGCCGAGGGUCGCUGGUUCGAAUCCAGUACCGCCCACCA
rnacentral:tRNA from 1 species